rnacentral:rRNA from 1 species
GCAUAAUCAUUAGUUUUUUAAUUGAAAGCUUGAAUGAAGGGUUGGACGAGAAGUUGGCUGUCUUUACUGAAGAAAUGGAAUUUAACUUUUAAGUGAGAGGGCUUAAAUGUUUUAAGGGGACGAUAAGACCCUAUAAAAUUUAACAAUUGGGGUAUUAGCAGAGAGUAGGAUAAAGUUAAAGGUAUUGUUAAAAAGUGUGUUGUUUUGUUGGGGCGACGGGAAUAUAAGUGAAUUAACUGUUCUUUAAUUAAAUUUCAUUAAUGUUUGCAAUUUGUGGUCCUUAUUAGAGACGAUAAGAGAAAAUUACUUUAGGGAUAACAGCGUAAUUUUUUUUGAGAGUUCCUAUCGACAAGAAAGUUUGCGACCUCGAUGUUGAAUUAA